GACGAACGUUGGCGGCGUGCUUAACACAUGCAAGUCGAACGGAAAGGCCCUGCUUUUGUGGGGUGCUCGAGUGGCGAACGGGUGAGUAACACGUGAGUAACCUGCCCUUGACUUUGGGAUAACUUCAGGAAACUGGGGCUAAUACCGGAUAGGAGCUCCUGCUGCAUGGUGGGGGUUGGAAAGUUUCGGCGGUUGGGGAUGGACUCGCGGCUUAUCAGCUUGUUGGUGGGGUAGUGGCUUACCAAGGCUUUGACGGGUAGCCGGCCUGAGAGGGUGACCGGCCACAUUGGGACUGAGAUACGGCCCAGACUCCUACGGGAGGCAGCAGUGGGGAAUAUUGCACAAUGGGCGGAAGCCUGAUGCAGCAACGCCGCGUGCGGGAUGACGGCCUUCGGGUUGUAAACCGCUUUCGCCUGUGACGAAGCGUGAGUGACGGUAAUGGGUAAAGAAGCACCGGCUAACUACGUGC
rnacentral:rRNA from 1 species